UUACUGCUGGAACAUGCACAAAGCAGAGAGAAGAUGGCUCUAGCACACUGCAGACUUUCUUCAUAUACACUGAGAAAAGCUCUGUCCUUGAGCUUGAGCCAUUUGUCUGGCAGUGCUCAAUGGAAAACUACUGGAUGGAUAACAGUACAGGAGAUGAGAACUGAUGGAUACAAAGUAGGUCAAGAACUCCUAAGAGACACAGUGACUGCCUUUGAUUUUUCUACCUUGAAGUUCAAAGAGCAUGAGUAAGUUCAUUGAAAGAAGAUGAAAUGAGUUAUUUAAAGAAAUAAGGAUUCCACUUUGCCUGUUGUGCCCUGAGAACUUAAGAAAGAGCAGGUCAUGAGUCAGCCAGAAGCCUGCAUGCACAUGCAUGCGUCUGGAUGCACUUUUCUAAUAUUGUUUGUAGACAACGCUGUCAUUAAUUGCCGAUGAACUCUUCCUAGCACUGAAAGAUUUUUCAUUUUAAUAAAGAGUCCAGUAAGAAGUUUGAUACUACGUGC
rnacentral:lncRNA from 1 species